CACGUAGGGGGCGAGCGUUGUCCGGAUUUAUUGGGCGUAAAGAGCUCGUAGGCGGCUCAGUAAGUCGGGUGUGAAAACUCCAGGCUCAACCUGGAGACGCCACCUGAUACUGCUGUGGCUAGAGUCCGGUAGGGGAGCAUGGAAUUCCUGGUGUAGCGGUGAAAUGCGUAGAUAUCUGGAGGAACACCGGUGGCGAAGGCGGCAUCCUGGACCGGUAUUGACGCUGAGGCGCGAAAGCCAGGGGAGCAAAGCGGGG
rnacentral:rRNA from 1 species